rnacentral:lncRNA from 1 species
CAUGGGAUUGAUGUUCUUUAGACCAAAAGAGGGACUAAGUUGAUAUUCCAGGGACAAUGAGGAAACAUCAUCAAAAUCCCUUAUAAUUAUUAUCUAAUCAAAUCUCUCUUUGUCCUCGAGAGGAUGCUACAGUUGCAUGCUCAUGAAAUCUAUCUCUAUGAUGCUUCAAUUGUAUUUUUACCUCAUUUACCUUCCCAAGC